ACGGAGGGGGCAAGCGUUGUUCGGAAUUACUGGGCGUAAAGGGCGCGCAGGCGGCGGUGCUGGCCCGGCGUGAAAGCCCCCGGCUCAACCGGGGAGGGUCGUCGGGGACCGCACCGCUUGAGGGCGGUAGGGGCCGGUGGAAUGCCUGGUGUAGUGGUGAAAUGCGUAGAGAUCAGGCAGAACACCUGGGGCGAAGGCGGCCGGCUGGGCCGACCCUGACGCUGAGGCGCGAAGGCGUGGGGAGCGAACGGGA
rnacentral:rRNA from 1 species